rnacentral:rRNA from 1 species
GAUGAACGCUGGCGGCGUGCCUAAUACAUGCAAGUCGAGCGAACAGACGAGGAGCUUGCUCCUCCGACGUUAGCGGCGGACGGGUGAGUAACACGUGGAUAACCUACCUAUAAGACUGGGAUAACUUCGGGAAACCGGAGCUAAUACCGGAUAAUAUAUUGAACCGCAUGGUUCAAUAGUGAAAGACGCUUUUGCUGUCACUUAUAGAUGGAUCCGCGCCGCAUUAGCUAGUUGGUAAGGUAACGGCUUACCAAGGCAACGAUGCGUAGCCGACCUGAGAGGGUGAUCGGCCACACUGGAACUGAGACACGGUCCAGACUCCUACGGGGGGCAGCAGUAGGGAAUCUUCCGCAAUGGGCGAAAGCCUGACGGGGCAACGCCGCGUGAGUGAUGAAGGUCUUCGGAUCGUAAAACUCUGUUAUUAGGAAAGAACAAAUGUGUAAGUAACUAUGCACGUCUUGACGGUACCUAAUCAGAAAGCCACGGCUAACUACGUG